rnacentral:misc_RNA from 1 species
UCUACACUUCAACGUGACAUAACACGAGUUCUUGACAUUGCGGCAUUUUGCACCGUUUUCUUCACUUUUUAAAGUGAUUAAAACUAUUUAAAUUAUCAACGACACAUAUCGGAAUUNAUACAGCAAUGUAGACCGUCGAAAUGAGNGAGGAGUCUGUNGCUGACGAAGUUUUAAGNGUCCUACAAAGNGGAAAGACCGGCUUUCAUUUCACAAACUGGUCGGAAACUUUCUCAUGCUCGCCUCAGUUUUACUUCGAACCAGAGUCUACACAAGAAAUAAGACAGAUCGUUCAAGUUGCGAAGCAAUUAAAACGCUGUGUGAGAAUUUGUGGUGCUGGUCAUUCCCCUUCAGAUAUUGUAUGCACGCCUGACUUUCUUGUGAGCUUGAAAAAAUAUAACGAUGUUUUGAAUGUUGAUACAGAGAGAAAGCAGAUNACAGUCCAGGCAGGGCUAAUGCUUUCAGAUCUUCAUGGUAUUCUAGACUCUUAUGGUCUUGGAUUUUCAAAUCUUGGUGCUUUGUCUGACUUCACAUGUGGCGGAGUGAUAUCAACAUGUGUCCAUGGAUCAGGUGCUAAUUAUGGUCUACUGGCAACAUUGGUUGUGAGCCUUGAGCUUAUGACGGCAGAUGGGAGAAUUAUUGAAUGCAGUCAAACUGAAAAUCAAGAUAUUUUCAAGUCAACAUUAUGCGGUUUGGGUGCACUGGGAAUUAUAUUGUCAAUCACAUGGCANUGCGAACUUGCGUUUAAUCUUCAUGAGAAAACUGAUUCAUGUCAUCUAGAUGAGAUGCUUGAAAAACUUGACAAAGAAAUUUCUUGUUGUGAACAUUUUAAGUUUAUGUGGUAUCCUCAUACUAACAUGGUUAAUGCAACAUAUUUAAACAGAACAACCAAGGCUUCAGUAAAGCCUAGGUCAAGUUGGUGGAAGGACUGGUUUUUUGGCUUUUAUCUUUUAGAAUUUCUUUACUGGCUAAGUUCUUUCUUGUCCAGUCUGGUUCCAGUCAUAAAUAGGCUGUAUUUUCGAGUAUUUUGUGAAGAACCNCGAGAAAGAAUUGAUAAAAGCUAUAAGAUCUUCAAUUUUAAUUGCUUAUUUAAGCAACAUGUAACUGAAUGGGCAAUUGAGAGAAAGAAAACACCCUAUGUCCUUCGCCGUCUAAGAGACUGGACAGAGCAUAGUGGUUUUAAUGUCCAUUUUCCAGUUGAAGUGCGUUUCGUUAAAGCCGAUGAUAUUUAUCUUAGUCCAUGUUACCAGAAAGAUGUGACUUUUAUCAAUAUUAUUUCUUACAGACCUUACGGCAAAGAUGUUCAGCGUGAAGAGUGGUGGAACUACUAUGAAGAGCUUAUUACCUCAGUUGGUGGGGUACCUCAUUGGGCCAAGGCACAUAAUUUCAGUGCUUCAAAUUUCGAGAAGUUGUAUCCAAAGUUUUUUGAAGUGCGUGAAUUGUGCAAGAAGUUGGAUCCUGAUGGAAUUUUCCGUAAUCAAUAUGUAAACAGAGUUUUGUUUGAGAGAGGACAAUGACAUCACACCAAGUCACAUGAUAUUACCAGACUCUCUCUAAUUGAUGUGACACAGGAACUCCAUUUAAGCUGUCUGCUUUGGGUUAUCUGUAUUAUAUCGACACAGGAAGACCGAUUUUUAAAUGAACUUAACAUUUUUGUUCAGAAAAAAAAGGCAAAAUGAUUAAAAGUAUUUCAUAAGCAAACUAAUGUACCAUUUGAAUAUAAUUGUAUUCAAGAAAAAGUCUUGUAUUUAUUAUGAAAAAGUUAGUCAUAACUUUCAAUUCAGCUCAAAAACCACACUCUUACGAAAACAAUGAAAGUUUCCGGUCACAA